ACAUUAUCUAAAUUGUUAACAGGAAUGAAAAGAAUCUAACGUUCUUGUUUUUCUUCAAGACUUGCAGCUAAUGGCUUCCUGUUCUCGUUUCACUUUGGGUUUUUUGCUUACUUUAAUACAAUUUCCUGUUUUGUUUUUUGUACUUGUAGGAUUAUAUGUCACCUUCAUGAGUAGGUGCGUUACGUUCUAUGUUCUGACGUAAUCCUGUUUCUGUCUGUGUGUAUACAGGAGUCAGGAGGCUUAAAAUUCUCAGUUUCAGUAUCUCUGUGAACAUUUUGAUGAUGUCAUUUUUGUCUUUGACAGCCUUCAAUCUGAGUUCAAAAUCCUACAUGGAUUAUUGCUGUUAUUUUUGAUCCAGUGUCAAUUAAGGCAAGUUCCCUACUGCCACCUUCCCCUACAAGGAAAAGGACAAAAAUAAUUGUUACCUUGCUCUCCCAGCAGGGUCAGAUACCCAUUGUCACAGAAAAAUGUUCUUGCAUUUGAUUAAGCCUCUCAACAUCCAUCCUGGAUUUUGGCAUUCGUGUGCCAAACGAAGAUGAAGAACCUCAUUUCUUUCUAACAGAAUAAUGUCUUUCAGUGGAAUUCCAAGUGCAACAUCCUGUUCUCCUGGUAUGCAUAGCGUGCAGCGGGGUUUUAUCAUCAUUUCCUGCACAAAACAGCAUUCCCUCUCUAAUGUGUUUGGUGGUGAGAGAUGGAGAGAUACAAAGAUUUCAGAUGCCAUUUGUGAAGUCCACACUAACAAGUACACCAGAAACUAUAAGAAAUAAAAUUUAGCCAUGAGAGCCCAGGGCGUGGAUGCCACUACUGAAAUGGAGGUGAUUCUUUAGUGCAUUAGCUGAAAAGCAGGAGAGAACUGCUGUGUACCACUGACUUAUAUGUCAGUCUCGGAAGAAAAAAAUUGGGCUUGUGUUCAUACAGCACUCUGACUUGUAUGUACCACUUUCUGAAGAGCAGAUUCUGGAAAAUGUUUUCUCUUGUUUUUUUUUCCUUUAACCUGAAGUGCAUUCAGCCAGAAUCCUUAUGUUGAUGGUGGAAUGGAGCCUCUGAAUGUCUGUAGUUAUGACGUGAGAGACACUUGGAGCAUGUCCAGAGAAGGGCAAUGGAGCUGUGAGGGGUCUGUGACACAGGUCUUACAAGGAAUGACUGAGGGAAAUAGGAUGGGACAGUCUGGAAAGAGGAGCUCAGGGGAGACCUCAUACAGUGCUCUGAAUGGGAGGUUGUGGGAAAAUGGGGAUCGGCCUCUUCUCCCAGGUAACAACGAUAGGAUGAGAGGGAAUGGCCUCAGGUUAUGCCAGGGGAGGAAAAACUUUCUCCGAAAGAGUGGUUGGGCAUUGGCACAGGGAGGUGAUGGAGUCACUGUCCCUACAGGUGUUCAAGAACUGAGAAGGUGUGGUAUUAAGGAAUGUUGUUAGUGAGGAAAUACUGGUGUUAGGUGGGCGGUUGGAUGAUCUUACAGGUCUUUUCCAUAAUGAUUCUAUGAUUUUAAAAAAUAGAUUUGGUGUACUGCAAAAAAAUUAACAAUUGGAAGAGUCUCAGGUGGCACCAGUGAUCUGAGUGCCUGCCAUCAGUGAUAGAAUCAGUCUGCAGCAGCACCAGUUCCUGUGUAUUUUUGUAACUGCUGAAAUCAAAUCUAAUGCAGCUACUGAAGGUAAAACGUUUUAGGAUUUGUUAACUUUUGUCUCCCUUAUCAUUUAGAGUCAAUAAAUUCAGACAUAAGAAGAGCAGAAGCAGAGCAGCAUUCACAUGAGCUAAAUAUUCCCAUGUGCAGAUGUAGAUAUUGUCGUGUUUCAGAUCUACAUCACCAACUGUACGGUCAUUUUGGCAACUGUCUCAAUUGAACUCUCUAGCGUCUUUACCUGUGAACACACAGUCCCACUGGAAAUAGCUUUCAUGACCUGGUGUUAAAUGAUCCAGAGCUGAGAUGGACCCACAAGAGUGGAGAGAGUGGAAAUGGAAAGGUAUGCUGACCAGAGCAUCCUCAUUUGACCUCACCAGAUGAUCACUUCCUCAGGAACACCCCGAGCUCAGUGGUGGCAGCAGCCAUGCUCGCAUCUCCCUGCAGACUGUUCACAGACAAGAAUGGUCCGGUCUAGACUUUGCAGUAAUCUCUGAUGUACAAACAAUCUAUCUCCAGCGAUGCAGGAAAGGAACCUCAGCCCAUCAGUGAUGUGUGUUCUUUUGGCAGCAGGGAGAGCAAAGCUUUACGUGGACAGUGGGAGCUCAGGUUCCUGGCUGCUAGACGAGGAUUUGCCCAGUUUGGUGCAAGGGAAGACCCAGUUCUGCCAUCAGCCCUGUGCAGAAGCAAAGAACAGACUGGUGCCGGGCCCUUUGCGUGCUAGCACUUUGCUGAGCCAUCAGAGAGGUCAUCCACAUUGAGGAGAGCUGCUGUGGGACAAAGAGAGAUGUAAACCCAAACUACCUCUGUGUCUGUGUGCUCAGAUCCUACAGCUAUGUGAGUGCAAGUGUGAGGUCUGGCCAGAGCAUUUCAGAUAAAACUGCC